AGGUCACGGUUCAGCAUGAGUGUUGCUUGGUUGGUUUUCAGUGGUCAUAACUCGACUAACAUCAAUCAGAGUACCCGACUUUGGACCUGGUGCUAGUUCCAGUCCUUCCCUCGAGACGUCACAGGAAACUACCCCAUAGAUGCCCGAGUCUCCAGACUCACCUGUAUCAGUUGUUAUCUGCCUCCAAUCCCUGAGCUCUGACUGGUCAUUCCACCGAUCCUCUGCCGCCUUCAAGUGUCAGCCUACCUGUCCGCCCUCCGAUGCCGCCACUCCUACUCACUCAGUCUGCCACUCAGUAAUUUCCUCCGAUCUCCAGACCAACCUGAAAGAGAAUCUCAAGAGACCAAGGAACCCCUGGACCAACUUUACCCCUCCAACGUCAUUAGCUAACACAACUCAAUGAGCCGUAUGCUACCGUUCAGUCCCUGGACCCGAAUUACCCCGAACAAAU